CAGUAGCCGCGGUAAUACGAAGGGGGCUAGCGUUGUUCGGAUUUACUGGGCGUAAAGCGCACGUAGGCGGACUUUUAAGUCAGGGGUGAAAUCCCGGGGCUCAACCCCGGAACUGCCUUUGAUACUGGAAGUCUUGAGUAUGGUAGAGGAGAGUGGAAUUCCACGUGUAGCGGUGAAAUGCGUAGAUAUCGUGAGGAAGACCAGCGGCGAAGGCGGCUCUCUGGACAGUUCCUGACGCUGAUGCACGAAGGCCAGGGGAGCAAACGGGAUUAGAGACCCGAGUAGUCCCUGUCUCUUAUAC
rnacentral:rRNA from 1 species